rnacentral:snoRNA from 1 species
UAGGCUGUGAUGAUUGGCGCAGGGGUACGGACCUCAGCUGAGCCAUGGGAGCUGAAUGUCCGUGCUUCUCCUUCCGCCUGCGUGUGGCAGGUUGACGGUGAGCACUGGCAUGAGACAAUGCCUCAAUCUGAGCCUG